AUCUGCUUGUCAAAGCCCUUCGUCUAAUUUUUUCCGCCCAAACAUUUCGCCGAACCAACAAAACCCUUGGCAAACUUAAGCUCCCUCACCGAAAUCUAUCUACCGUCGAACCAAAACCCUCUUCGAUCCCUAAACUCCGUCCACCGAAAUCUUUCUACCGCCGAACCAAAACCUUCGAUCGUCAAGCAGUAGAUCCCAACGCUGAGGUGAUCGACCAGUCUCUUCGCUUCCUUCGCCAGGCGCUAAGGAGACCUCUCUCACUGGCGCGACUGCCUCCCGUAUGAUUCUGCGGCUACCACUGUGGUGUUGUCUGCCAGUUUGAUUGUGUCGCGCGGCCGCUACAGCUGCCUUGCCUAGAAGAAUCUCAAAUCCCGCUCGUCACUAUAGGGUUUUUGAUCUCACUAUCUGAGAAGUCGCCAAGGAACCUAAGCGUGUGUAAUUGCCAAUCCAUUUUUUUCAUUUUUGCCCCAUCUUAGUGCUUUUUUUUCCUCCAUAUUUACAGGUUGCUAGAUUUCUCAGAUUCAUUGAUCUAGCAUAAUGGCCGCAAGUUGAGUUUUGUAAUAAUAGUUGCGGUUGUUUAUGAUAAUAUCUCCCUCUUUUUUUUGAUCUUAUCCUCUGGUUAUUAUUGUGAUGUUCAGAAUGCGAGAUUACUUAAAGAUGAAGCUACCGAGGAGAAAGGAGAUUGUGUGAGAAUGCUAUAUAUUUGAUUUAAUUAGUAGUAAAAAAUUAGUUAAACUAACACUAGUCUCAAUUUAUGUGAUCGAGCUUACUCUACAGUUCUGAUAUGUUUUUUUUUAAUGUUUUCCUAUAUGCUUAGGAAUCUCAGAUUGAGUUUGAUUAUAGGUUCUAUCAAAUUUUAGAUUUUUUUGCAUUUUAAAUUUAGUAAAAUUAGCAUCUUUUGUCUUAUUUCCUCAGUCAAUAAUUACAUGGUUUAUUGUUAUUGUAGUAAUAACUCUGCACAUUUUAGUGGAACUAUGUUGAUGAGGAUGGAAACCUUUUUCCAAAUAGCUCCUGCAACCAAGCGUGUGAUGUUAAGUUUUUUGGCAUUAUCAUUACUAGAUGAGCAUAUUAAACCUCAGGACAACGUCAAUCUAUUUACUUUUUACUCAUUAAUUGAUAGAAGUUGGAAGCAUGAUUACUUGUUCGAGACUAGAGAAGAUCAAUUCUCUGUGUGUGUAAAUUCAUAUAAUCUUUUUAACAAAACUAUUCUUUUGUUGAUGACUUAACUUUUGAUGUUAUGCAGGAAUCAUUUGUUGGUGCUAUGGCAAUUGGGAAUCUAGUCAAGACAACUUUUAAAUUUGAGAAUGUCGUAAUGUAGGACAUCAUAGAUUAAACUAUUGUUUGUUGGGUUUGCCAACCAUUUAUAAAGCAGCAUGUAUUAUUAUUUUUGUAUUAUAUUCUUAUUUACACUGUCAGGUUAUAGAACAAUUACUGAUGGUAUCUCCAGUUCACUUGUUAUUUUUUAAUACAAAUUGAUUAAUUGAAUGACA